GUUAAAAUGAGCUGCAAAAUGCAAAUUAAAAAAAAACUUGCUGUUUUAAAUGUGAUAAAAGAAAAAAAAAGCAUUUUAUUUGCUAGUUUUAAAAACAACAGAAUAAGUUAACAAAUUAGAUAAACAGGCAGCAUGGGAGGAUGUGUUAUAAAAAGCCCAAUCCCUACAACUGGCGUCAGCACAAAAAACAUGGACCUAUGCAAGGGACAGUUUGUUUGGGCUCUGGAAGAGCCGGACAAUGAGUAAAAGGGAUAACGCCCGAAAUACUGGAUCCGGAGGUGGGAAGGAGAAGGUAAUGGAUGAAGCUGACUUGGCCAUACUCGAUAUUCUGGAAUCAGACUCAGCUGUGGUAGAUGGUUUGAAUUUGCCAGAAAGUUAUGGCAACUCAGAAAAUCUACCGUCAGCUGAGAAUGAUUCCAGAAUAUCUAUUUCAGAAGAAACAAUUGCCAAUCCACCUCUAAACCCAAGAAAGAGGAAGCGCUCUACCAAGUUUCCAAGUGAAACUUUGGAUAGAGAGAAAAAAUGCCGGAUGGAGCUCCUUGAGGUUGAGGUUUACUACCGGAAACUUCAAUGCCUAAAACUGGAGAGGGAGCUCCUACUUCCACCCUCUGCUAUCACACAGGGAAUUGCAACGGCAGAAACAGAAAAUGUAUCGCGUCUGUUAUUUGAGGAGGUUUGAUUACCGAAGGCCAAUUUUUCAUUUGUGUAUAUUUGAUUUCUAAACAUUUUAUUUUGAAAUAAUUUGUGAUAAAAACAAAAAAGCUCUGAAAUUAAUAAAAUGAUGUAAAUAAAUACAAAAAUACUUCCUUUUUUAUUUAUUCCCUGAGACCUUAAUCUCAAACCCAAUAAGAUACAACGCUUUUGCAGUGGAAAAAAGUCAUGGCCAAAACACCACUUUUAUGUAUUUUAAAACAAUACUGUAAU